AACGAACGCUGGCGGCAGGCUUAACACAUGCAAGUCGAACGCCCCUUCGGGGGGAGUGGCAGACGGGUGAGUAACGCGUGGGAAUCUACCCAGUGGUACGGAACAACACAGAGAAAUUUGUGCUAAUACCGUAUACGCCCUUUUGGGGGAAAGAUUUAUCGCCAUUGGAUGGGCCCGCGUUUGAUUAGCUAGUUGGUGAGGUAAUGGCUCACCAAGGCGACGAUCAAUAGCUGGUCUGAGAGGAUGAUCAGCCACACUGGGACUGAGACACGGCCCAGACUCCUACGGGAGGCAGCAGUGGGGAAUAUUGGACAAUGGGCGCAAGCCUGAUCCAGCCAUGCCGCGUGAGUGAUGAAGGCCCUAGGGUUGUAAAGCUCUUUCAACGGUGAAGAUAAUGACGGUAACCGUAGAAGAAGCCCCGGCUAAACUUCGUGCCAGCAGCCGCGGUAAU
rnacentral:rRNA from 1 species